AGGGUUGUAACUCAGUGGUAGAGUGCUUGCCUAGCAUGUGUGAGGCACUGGGUUCAAUUCUCAGCAUCACAU
rnacentral:tRNA from 1 species